CGGCCAUCCAAAGCCGUUAUCUCUCAGGCGGUAAGGAUAGGCUCUAUUCUGGAUACGCAGGACGGCUGCACGGCCGCAAUUAUCCGCCAUCUUGGCUGUCUCAUUGGCUGUCCAGAGGUCACGUGCUUUGAAAUUUGUGCCGGGAAACGGAAGUUUUGCAAAAUGCAAUUUUGCUAUUUCGUCAGAAUGACGAAACGUGACGUGGAGCUGCAAAUUUUAUCGACUAAUAGUCUUUGUGGUCCUUGGCACUUAUCUUGCAACUUUAGCGCUUUAAAAGAAAGUGGACAGUAGCGUGCCGAAACCCGUGCAAUGCAUCUGCAAUUUCGCGAAUAUGUGGUUGCGUUCCAAGAUAGCCGGAAUGUCAGUUGUUGUUUGGCUGAAAGAAUAUGCCGUGAAGAGCCUCACAGGAAGGGCCGUUUCGUAAACGUCAUUUUGACGUUCCGUGACGUUGCGCUGGGCCGCCAUUGCGCCGAUUUUCUGCCAUAAUUUCUGGUGCGACGAGCCGUGCGAAUUAUGGUAAUGAGCGGCCCUAUGCAAUGUCAGUCGAGAGGCAUGCAUAUCGCCGCAUUUUCGCUGUCAUUUGGGGCCAUGAAAAUCUUUCGUUCACAACGCGUGCUCAUAGUAUUUGCAUCGCUCUCGGGUGGUGUUGGCAUUUGUGUUUUGAACCAUCAUUUCUAUUAAAAACACGUUUAUUUGACAUAAUAUUGGUUUAAACUAGCAAACUUCUUGCGACUUUUAGCACUUUUCGCUACUGCGUUUCUAUUGUAAUCAAUAUUAAUGUCUUUUCGCGUCAUCAAAGGCUAUGACAAUGGCGACUUUUUAAUUUAUAAAAGUAAAUGCACGCAAGGCGGCGUCUUGAAGUCUGCUCUCGCGGUGUGAGUAAGCAGCGAAGUGAACAAGAGUACGUGGCCAAUAGCUUGCGAUAGCCUAUCGAUAGCCAAUCAAUAACUAAUGUAUAAUCGAUCAAUAAUAAAAUAAUUCUGGAAAAUGCUGGGGUUGAGUUAGCCUAGCCCAAAAAGCCAGGACUAGUGAGGUGCCCAUGGGCUCCCCUGUCUCUUUAGCAUUGCGCCUCCAGUGCAAGCUACGCUAAUUUUUUAUAUGGUGAUCAUCUCUGCGAUAAUUUUGCGAUACGAAAUACAAUAGUCAGCCAAUAGACGGAUCGUUCCAUGUAAUCGGGAAGGAAAAUAUUUUAUUGUAUUAAAAAUAAAACUGGGCCCAGAGCACAGCCUUGGCGAACUCCCGAUGUAACAGUUCCUAAAUUGGAAGCUUCAUUUUGAAUAUACUCGAAUUGUGAGCGAUAUAGGUCGGCACAUUCACUGAUGAGUGCACUCACUCACACUCACCCGCAUUUAUUUCAAAGGCGUGAUUGCGCGUGCGAGUGAGUGCCAGUGAGUGUGAGUGGAGGUGUGUGCGAGUGAGUGCCAGUGAGUGUGAGUGGAAAUGAGUGCCAGUGAGUGUGAGUGAAGGUGAGUGCCAGUGAGUGUGUGUGGAGGUGAGUGCGAGUGGAAGUGAGUGCGAGUACGGUGAGUGCCAGUGAGUGGGAAUGCGAGUGAGUGCUAAUGAGUGUGACUGGAAGUGAGUUGGAGUACGAGUGAGUGCCAGUGAGUGCGAGAGCCAGUGAGUGUGAGUAGGAGUGAGGGUCAGUGAGUGUGAGUGGCAUUGAGUGCCAGUGAGUGUAAGGGAAAAAGAGUGCGUGUGUGACAGUGAGUGAGUGGAGGUGAGUGUGAGAGAGUGCCAGUGAGUAUGGAUGGAAGUGAGUGCGAAUGAGCGUGAAUGGAGGUGAGUGCGAGUGCGAGUGAGUGUCAGUGAGUGUGAGUGGAGGUGAGCGUGAACGUGAGUGAGUGCUGCGAGUGUGAGUGGAGGUGAGUGUGAACGUGAGUGAGUGCUUGUGAGUUUUAGCGGAGGUGAGCGUGAACGUCAGUGAGUGCGGGGCCCGGAAGAAAUUAUGGUGAGGGUGAGUUGUAUCCACACUGCCGACCUAUGUAUAUAUCUGCGUGUGUCUGUGUUUGUGUGCGUAAGCGUGUUUAUGUCCUCAGGGGCGCUUGUUAUUUAAAAAGACCACGGUAGAAAAGGAUGUCACCAAAUGAAUGUUGAACAUUUAUUUGAAUAAUUGUUAAGGACGUGGAACUUCCUACCACAUGGACAUUUGCUGGUUCUUGGAAUCAAUGACUAUUAUUUUCUUUUUGGCAGUUGUUUAAACAGAACACCUUAACUAAUAUAAAUCCUUGUUUUACCUUUAGGGAACAAAGCUGGCUCCACCACCCGACACGUGGUGCAUUAUCAUCUGCUUGUGGGAACAAAAGACCCUGAAGAGGCUGUGAAGGAUUGUAAAACAGAAUAUGAAACAUACGCACCAUACGGAAAACAGCUUUAUCCGUAUAAUUGCAGGCUGUACACCCAAUAGCUGCUGUGUAGAAUAGUAUAGAAUAGCAACUUUUUUGCGCUAAUAAAAAGGCAUAAAAAAGA